ACAACAUCAAUAUUACUUAGAACGGUAACUAGAUUGUGUAAUAAGAUAUA
rnacentral:guide_RNA from 1 species